UGUUGAAAUCUGGGCUUGCUAAAUUUCCAAUGAUAGAGCAUUACAAAAGUUGCUGUCGAGAAGCAAACACUGAAAAAUAUUGCAGACCACGAUGUAGAUGGAAUCUGUAAACCAACUGGACUCGGUCAGAAUUACAGAACCAUAUUCAUUCUAGAAGGUCCUCCCGAAGCUUUUAGGUUCAAAGUCAAAUCAGGCAAAGAUAGGCAUCAUUAAUGACAUUAGUGGCAUUGCUAACGUUGGAAGGAUGACCCUUCUGCUUGGCUCUCUCAGGAAAUCUUUAAAAGGUGACAGGGAAGUUUUGAUUGAAUGGAUAAGAAGGUACUUUACUAUAGACAAGUGUACUGAGAAGUUAAUUGGACUCAAAGCUGAGUUGCAACUCUGCAGUUUACUAAGCUUUUUCUUCAUGAGCUGAGC